ensembl:lncRNA
GGGAUAUUCCAUACCAUAUAGCAUCAUACAGAAAAACUAUAAAACUAAGGGGAGUUGGCUGAGAGGGGCAUCUGAUGCUCAGGGCCUGGCUGGGCAUAGAUGGCAGUUGGUGAGCAACUGUGUUGUGCAUCACUUAUUUUGUAAAUAUUAGAUAUAUUAUCAUUACUAUUAUUUCAGUUUUCCUUCUCUGUCUUAGUAAAUGUUUUUUAUCUCAACCUCUGAGUUCUUUUCUUUUUUUUUUUUUUUCCAGUUCUCUCCUGCAUCCCACUGGGAGGUGGGGAGUGAACUAAAGUUCACUAAACUGUAAAGCCCAGCUGCCUGUUGGGUUAAACCGGAAUAGGCUCACAUAGUAUCUAAGUUCAUUUCUUACAAGUUCAGAAUUAUCUGCUGAAUAGCAUGUGAGUGGAAGGCAGGACACUGCAGGAUGAUAAACAGACAUGAUCUGAAAAGAAAAGAAAAGAAAAGAAAAGAAAAGAAAAGAAAAGAAAAGAAAAGAAAAGAAAAGAAAAGAAAAGAAAAGAAAAGAAAAGAAAAGAAGAAGAAGAAGAAGAAAAAAAAAGGGCCAUUCUGAAUAGAACAAAAAAGGCUUAUCAUCAUUGUGUGCUGAAUCACACUAUAAACAUGGACUUUGAAACAUCUUUUUCUGAAACUUAGAGGGACUCAGAGCAGCACAAGUAUUUUGUCUCAGUGGAAAUUAUGGAACUGCAGGUUAAGCAGCUCUAUGAAGUUCUGGAUCCCUUCUGAAAACCAGCUCCCAGAAGAUGAAUACUGUCAGCAUAACAAAGUUUCUUCAGAUAAUUUACAAUUACAGUGAAUUAGAGUUAGAGACACUGGAGUUCAUCAUAUAUAUACAUAUUUAUGUAUGUAUGUAUAUGUGAGUCUGUGUUUAGUGUCUUUUCUAAAAAUGUUUGUUCUUUCACUGACAGCUCUUAUUUUAAAAUCACUCACAAUAAAUAAUAGCCAUUUAUUACAGUGGAGGCCUAGAUCCUGAAAGUCUCAUUCAGUUAAAUCUCAUUCACUAUUUUAAAUAUUGCUUCAGUCCACAUGCUUUCCUCCACUUCCUUCUUCAUCAUCACUGCAGACAACAAUCACCAUGAAUGUUUUUUAUACAUAAUGGGGUUUUUUUAAUAUUAUUUUGAAUUAUUACAGAAUAAGCAUACCUCCCUCCAAUGUUGUCAGCAUGCUUUCCUUACAUCUCUACUCAAGCAUAGGGGAUUCUCACCACCAUAAUGUUCCCUUUAAGAGAUGAAAUGCAGAUUGCCACCUAAAAGCCAGAGCCAUUUUCAAGGGCUGCAUCUGCUAACUCUUUGUUAAACGCUGUCCCUAAAAAAGACCAAAGGAUCUCCUAAGGAAAUUUCCUACAUAGAAACCAUGCUAAUCAUGCUCUAGACAUCAUUAAGCUUGAUUAUGGACUUAUAUAAUUAAUAAAUUAAAAUACAACAUAGCAUGAUGAUAUGUCAAAUGCUUAUUUUGUUCAAUGCCAACAGAUGUGGAGAUUAAAGGUAUACACACAUUUUGGGAAGAUGAACUGGCAGACAUGCACACAAUAUUCGACUUUACAGGUAGCUAUUUGAUUUUUUGGCAUGCCAAAAAUUUUCUUCUGUUGUCUCCAGUAAUGAGGCUUAUUACUGGAGCUCUUAGCAUCAGGCCUUUGCUUCUGAGAAGAUCCUGCCCAUGCACCAGUUGUAGAACAUGCUUGAAAAUAGAGAAGUUGCAGGAAAAAAAAAGGGUGUAGACAUGAUAUUAAGAGAUGUAGGCAGCAGAUCAGUGUCUGAACAAAGCAAUAAAGCUGGAUUGGCAAGGUGAAGAUGUACUUGACAUUGAUCUCCUGCCAAAAUUUUGACGUGGCAUAGGAUCAACACUGAACAAGGUCAUGAAGCAACUUGAAUUUUAUCGACAUGAAUCUUAACCAGGCAGGGACAACAGGUCUCCUUCAGAUGAAUUAUAAUUGACUUUGAAAAUUGGAAGAAUAACUAGGUUCAGAAGAUGACAUGAAACAUUUAACCUUUUAAUUGCUGAUUAGAACUUGCCGCAGAGGUGAUCAAAUUCCAUUAUCUUCAGAAGUUUCUGAAAAGAGCUUUUGUGAUUUAUUUUGUUGCAGACCGACUGGAUAUAUUUCCGUAUAAGUUAGUUUCCGAAUUAUCAAGCCAGCAAGCAUUUACUCUAAUUAUUUAUUCAUUCCCGGAGAACUUCUACAUCACUGUUUGCACUGAAUAUGAAUAAUCUUGUGAUUGUUUGAUUAAGAUGUAGCUGCAUGUGGAAAUCAAUGAUACUGUAAGAUACAGUCAUGGAACAGCAGCCAAACAGUUCCUGUGAAUUUGUUUUGGGAGUCUAAAAAAAAAAAAAAAAAGUAAAACAACAAUACCUUAUGCACAAUUUUGAAUGAUAAUUAUGUAAUUAUGUAGUAUAUUGCAUGUCCACAUCCUAGAAAUCACAUUGAAGCAGCAUCCAUUUUACAUCUGUAAGUAGAUUUACAUCAGUGGAAUUAAAAUUUUCCAAUGUUGCACUCAUGUUAAUAAACAAACACCAUUUAGUUACUGAGCACUACAAUUUUAAAAGAGAUUACAUCACCUCAAAGUGUAAAUCCCUCUGAUUGUCAUCCAGACUUAAUAACCUCAGUAACCCAGACAAUCCCAUGAUCUAGCAUUAAAUUCAUGUCAAAUCAUAAGCAAACAUAAGACAGCAAAUAUUAUAAAGAUAUAUUAAAUCUUCCCCAGUCAGCAAAUAAAUCUCUAUCAUCUUCAAAAAGGCCUGUUUUCAAAUGUAAAUACUGCAAUUGUGUCACUGUUGACAGGAAGAAGGCAAAUGAUCAGUCAGUCUACUUACUAAUUACGUUUAUUUUUACAAUGCAAUUAUAGAUUACAAUUCUGUGUUGAAUGAAAUUAGAAAGCAUUAUAAGUAUCACCAUGGUAAAACUAAAAUAGGUCUUUUCAGCCAAUUACAUUUUUCCAUGUAAGAAAUUUUGAUUUCAACAGCUCAUUUUAUAGAAUUGAGAGAUCACAAGAAUGAAUGCUGUUUUUCUGAUAUCCACAUGCGCUACUACGUUAUUGAUUUUAUUGACAACAAAGAAACCCUACGGUUUAUAAGCUCACAUACAGCAUUUUGCUUUUUGCAGAGAUAACAAUUUUCUUUCUUCUUGAAAGCAUCAGUAAGGUCCUAAAAUAUUACAGGAAAUAAGUUGCUUGUUACACCUAAAAGCAUACGGCCUAACAGAAAUUCUCAAAACAAGGUUGUGGGGAAAAUGCAGUGUUGCAUAUAUUCUUUCCUUUGGCAUUACCACAGUUUUAGAUUUUCCUGCCCAAGCAAAAUUUCCUGCAUUGUUAGCUCAGAUAACCAGAGGAUGUACUUUGAUUUGCUUUCUAAUCCAGUUUUUAAUUAAUGUAAAACCUUUUGAGGAGAGAUCUUCUGUGUUUGUUUUCAUCCUGAAGUUUAACAUUUCAGAAAAGAUCAGGGAUCACAUAUCCUACCUUUUUUUUUUUUUUUUUUUUUCUGUU